CCUACGGGUGGCAGCAGUGAGGAAUAUUGGUCAAUGGACGAGAGUCUGAACCAGCCAAGUAGCGUGAAGGAUGACUGCCCUAUGGGUUGUAAACUUCUUUUAUAAAGGAAUAAAACGAGGCACGUGUGCCUUUUUGCAUGUACUUUAUGAAUAAGGAUCGGCUAACUCCGUUCCAGCAGCCGCGGUAAUACGGAGGAUCCGAGCGUUAUCCUGAUUUAUUGGGUUUAAAGGGAGCGUAGAUGGGUUGUUAAGUCAGGUGUGAAAGUUUGCGGCUCAACCGUAAAAUUGCAAUUGAUACUGGCAGUCGUGAGUACAGUGGAGGUAGGCGGAAUUCGUGGUGUAGCGGUGAAAUGCUUAGAUAUCACGAAGAACCCCGAUUGCGAAGGCAGCUUACUAAACUGUGACUGACAUUGAUGCUCGAAAGUGUGGGUAUCAAACAGGAUUAGAUACCCUAGUAGUC
rnacentral:rRNA from 1 species